rnacentral:rRNA from 1 species
AACGAACGCUGGCGGCGUGGAUAAGACAUGCAAGUCGAACGGGGAUUAAACGGUAGCAAUAUUGUUUAAUCUUAGUGGCGAAAGGGUGCGUAACACGUGGGCAAUUUGCCAUAAAGUUCGGGAUAACUUCGAGAAAUCGAAGCUAAUACCGGAUGUGAUUACCGGAAGGCAUCUUCCGGCGAUUAAAGGUGGGGACCUUCGGGCCUGCCGCUUUUUGAUAAGCCCGCGGCCUAUCAGCUUGUUGGUGAGGUAACGGCUCACCAAGGCAACGACGGGUAGCCGGUCUGAGAGGACGAUCGGCCACACUGGAACUGAGACACGGUCCAGACACCUACGGGUGGCAGCAGUCGAGAAUCAUUCACAAUGGGGGAAACCCUGAUGGUGCGACGCCGCGUGGGGGAUGAAGGGCUUCGGUCCGUAAACCCCUGUCAUCUGUGAGCAACUGCUUUCGGUUAAUAUCCGGAAGCUUGAUAGUAGCAGAAGAGGAAGGGACGGCUAACUCCGUGCCAGCAGCCGCGGUAAUACGGAGGUCCCAAGCGUUGUUCGGAUUCACUGGGCGUAAAGGGUGCGUAGGCGGUACAGUAAGUUUGAUGUGAAAGCUCCAGGCUCAACCUGGAAAUUGCAUUGGAUACUA